ACUCUAAUAGUUCAAGCUAGAACACCGGUCUUGUAAACCGGAGGUGGAAACCGUUCCUUAGAGUG
rnacentral:tRNA from 1 species